rnacentral:rRNA from 1 species
UACAGAGGGGGCCAGCGUUAUUCGGAAUUAUUGGGCGUAAAGGGCGCGUAGGCGGCUUGGCAAGUGGAUGGUGAAAUCCCUCGGCUUAACCGAGGAACUGCCGUCCAAACUGCUUCGCUUGAGACCGGGAGAGGUGAGUGGAAUUCCCAGUGUAGCGGUGAAAUGCGUAGAUAUCUGGAGGAACACCGGUGGCGAAGGCGGCAUCCUGGACCGGCAUUGACGCUGAGGCGCGAAAGCCAGGGGAGCAAACGGG